GCUGUGGUUUAGCUCAGUGGUUACUUCGAUUGCAUUCUCUCUCGCAGAGAUACUCAGUCUCCAUCCCUCCGUGGGAUCGAGCCCUGGGCGCUGUCCACAGCAUUU
ensembl:vault_RNA Vault Vault RNA